AUCUCGAUGACUGACCAGCUGAAAUGAAACAUGGCACAAUGUGAUCGUUUUCAAAUUACUCUAAAAAUCCCAUACUUUUCUAAAGAAUAUUCUAUUAGUGAAGACAACAAUGAUCAAACAGCGUGUGUCUGUGAAUAGAUGACGAAGAUGAACAAAAACAAGGGGACCUUGUAUAUACGUACUGCCCAAACUCGCCAAGGAUGAUGGCCCCUAUGCCCAGGAGGGCAACGGCGCCAAGUAUGUAUGUGGAAAUGCGAGUUUGCAGCCACGAGGCUCCGACCACCUUCAGCAUGGCUCAUUAGUAUAAGCAACACACCUUGGUCCAAAAG
rnacentral:lncRNA from 1 species